rnacentral:rRNA from 1 species
CCUAGUAACUGCGAGUGAAGCGGGAAAAGCUCAAAUUUAAAAUCUGGCGGUCUUUGGCCGUCCGAGUUGUAAUUUAGAGAAGUGCCUUCCGCGCCGGACCAUGCACAAGUCUCCUGGAAUGGAGCGUCAUAGAGGGUGAGAAUCCCGUCUUUGGCAUGGAGCCCCGGUGCUUCUGUGAUGCGCUCUCGAAGAGUCGAGUUGUUUGGGAAUGCAGCUCAAAAUGGGUGGUGAACUCCAUCUAAAGCUAAAUAUUGGCGAGAGACCGAUAGCGAACAAGUACCGUGAGGGAAAGAUGAAAAGCACUUUGGAAAGAGAGUGAAACAGUACGUGAAAUUGUUGAAAGGGAAACGCUUGAAGUCAGUCGCGUCGACCGAGACUCAGCCUUGCCUUGGCUUGGUGAACUUCUCGGCCGACGGGUCAGCAUCAAUUUUGCCCCUCGGAUAAUGGCAAGGGAAAGGUGGCACCUUUACGGGUGUGUUAUAGUCUCCUGUCGCAUGCGAGGGUCAGGAUUGAGGAACUCAGCGCGCACCUCACGGUGUCGGGGCUUCGGCCCACGUCACGCGCUUAGGAUGCUGGCGUAAUGGCUUUAAAC